rnacentral:rRNA from 1 species
AUUGAACGCUGGCGGCAUGCUUUACACAUGCAAGUCGAACGGCAGCACGGGCUUCGGCCUGGUGGCGAGUGGCGAACGGGUGAGUAAUAUAUCGGAACGUACCCAAGAGUGGGGGAUAACGUAGCGAAAGUUACGCUAAUACCGCAUACGAUCUAUGGAUGAAAGUGGGGGAUCGCAAGACCUCAUGCUCCUGGAGCGGCCGAUAUCUGAUUAGCUAGUUGGUAGGGUAAAGGCCUACCAAGGCGACGAUCAGUAGCUGGUCUGAGAGGACGACCAGCCACACUGGAACUGAGACACGGUCCAAACUCCUACGGGAGGCAGCAGUGGGGAAUUUUGGACAAUGGGCGCAAGCCUGAUCCAGCAAUGCCGCGUGAGUGAAGAAGGCCUUCGGGUUGUAAAGCUCUUUUGUCAGGGAAGAAACGGUGGGAGCUAAUAUCUCCUACUAAUGACGGUACCUGAAGAAUAAGCACCGGCUAACUACGUGCCAGCAGCCGCGGUAAUACGUAGGGUGCAAGCGUUAAUCGGAAUUACUGGGCGUAAAGCGUGCGCAGGCGGUUUUGUAAGUCUGACGUGAAAGCCCCGGGCUCACCUGGGAAUUGCGUUGGGAGACUGCAAGGCUUGAAUCUGGCAGAGGGGGGUAGAAUUCCACGUGUAGCAGUGAAAUGCGUAGAGAUGUGGAGGAACACCGAUGGCGAAGGCAGCCCCCUGGGUCAAGAUUGACGCUCAGGGUCAAAGCGUGGGGGCAAAAAAUG